rnacentral:rRNA from 1 species
ACGAACGCUGGCGGCGUGCCUAAUACAUGCAAGUCGAGCGGAAUGAUGAAGAAGCUUGCUUCUUCUGAUUUUAGCGGCGGACGGGUGAGUAACACGUGGGCAACCUACCUUGUAGAUUGGGAUAACUCCGGGAAACCGGGGCUAAUACCGAAUAAUCCAUUUUGCUUCAUGGCGAGAUGUUGAAAGACGGUUUCGGCUGUCACUAUAAGAUGGGCCCGCGGCGCAUUAGCUAGUUGGUAGGGUAAUGGCCUACCAAGGCGACGAUGCGUAGCCGACCUGAGAGGGUGAUCGGCCACACUGGGACUGAGACACGGCCCAGACUCCUACGGGAGGCAGCAGUAGGGAAUCUUCCACAAUGGACGAAAGUCUGAUGGAGCAACGCCGCGUGAGUGAAGAAGGUUUUCGGAUCGUAAAACUCUGUUGUAAGGGAAGAACACGUACGAGAGUAACUGCUCGUACCUUGACGGUACCUUAUUAGAAAGCCACGGCUAACAACGUG